rnacentral:rRNA from 1 species
CCUACGGGGGGCAGCAGUGAGGAAUAUUGGUCAAUGGACGAGAGUCUGAACCAGCCAAGUAGCGUGAAGGAUGACUGCCCUAUGGGUUGUAAACUUCUUUUAUAUGGGAAUAAAACGUUCCACGUGUGGGAUUUUGUAUGUACCAUAUGAAUAAGGAUCGGCUAACUCCGUGCCAGCAGCCGCGGUAAUACGGAGGAUCCGAGCGUUAUCCGGAUUUAUUGGGUUUAAAGGGCGCGUAGGUGGAUUGUUAAGUCAGUUGUGAAAGUUUGCGGCUCAACCGUAAAAUUGCAGUUGAAACUGGCAGUCUUGAGUACAGUAGAGGUGGGCGGAAUUCGUGGUGUAGCGGUGAAAUGCUUAGAUAUCACGAAGAACUCCGAUUGCGAAGGCAGUUCACUGGACUGCAACUGACACUGAGGCUCGAAAGUGUGGGUAUCAAACAGGAUUAGAUACCCUAGUAGUC